rnacentral:rRNA from 1 species
GCAAUCUACCUUUUACAGAGGGAUAGCCCAGAGAAAUUUGGAUUAAUACCUCAUAGUAUAGCUCUACCGCAUGGUAGUACUAUUAAAGUCACAACGGUAAAAGAUGAGCAUGCGUCCCAUUAGCUAGUUGGUAAGGUAACGGCUUACCAAGGCUACGAUGGGUAGGGGUCCUGAGAGGGAGAUCC